CAGAAGGUAACCUUUUUGGUUCACUCUUCACAUCCCUUUGUCUACCUACUCUGUUGCUUCCAUGGUGCCAGCCAGGUUAGCUCUGGACAGGUGCUUCAUGGCAUCUGUUUGGAAGUGCCCAUGGGCGGUUCCCUUUCCGGUGACUUCUGUUACUUAGCUUGGGGAGCCUUCAUACAAAAACCUCUUGUACAUCAAUUUGUCUGAACAAAGUUAUAAUUAAAAAAAAU
rnacentral:misc_RNA from 1 species